rnacentral:rRNA from 1 species
UCGAACGGAGAGAGGGAGCUUGCUUCCUCAAUCGAGUGGCGAACGGGUGAGUAACGCGUGAGGACCUGCCUCAAAGAGGGGGACAACAGUUGGAAACGACUGCUAAUACCGCAUAAGCCGGCAUCGGAAAAGGAGCAAUCCGCUUUGAGAUGGCCUCGCGUCCGAUUAGCUAGUUGGUGAGGUAAUGGCCCACCAAGGCGACGAUCGAUAGCCGGACUGAGAGGUUGAACGGCCACAUUGGGACUGAGACACGGCCCAGACUCCUACGGGAGGCAGCAGUGGGGAAUAUUGCACAAUGGGGGAAACCCUGAUGCAGCGACGCCGCGUGGAGGAAGAAGGUCUUCGGAUUGUAAACUCCUGUUGUUGAGGAAGAUAAUGACGGUACUCAACAAGGAAGUGACGGCUAACUACGUGCCAGCAGCCGCGGUAAAACGUAGGUCACAAGCGUUGUCCGGAAUUACUGGGUGUAAAGGGAGCGCAGGCGGGAAGACAAGUUGGAAGUGAAAUCUAUGGGCUCAACCCAUAAACUGCUUUCAAAACUGUUUUUCUUGAGUAGUGCAGAGGUAGGCGGAAUUCCCGGUGUAGCGGUGGAAUGCGUAGAUAUCGGGAGGAACACCAGUGGCGAAGGCGGCCUACUGGGCACCAACUGACGCUGAGGCUCGAAAGUGUGGGUAGCAAACAGGAUUAGAUACCCUGGUAGUCCACACCGUAAACGAUGAUUACUAGGUG